rnacentral:rRNA from 1 species
UCGAGAAUCUUCGGCAAUGGGCGCAAGCCUGACCGAGCGACGCCGCGUGCGGGAUGAAGGCCCUCGGGUUGUAAACCGCUGUCGGAGGGGAGGAAAUGCCAAGGGGUUCUCCUCUUGGUUUGACCUAUCCUCAAAGGAAGUACGGGCUAAGUUCGUGCCAGCAGCCGCGGUAAGACGAACCGUACAAACGUUAUUCGGAAUUACUGGGCUUAAAGGGUGCGUAGGCGGCCCGGAAAGUUGGGUGUGAAAUACCUCGGCUCAACCGAGGAAUUGCGCUCAAAACUACCGGGCUCGAGGAAGAUAGAGGUGAGCGGAACUUAGGGUGGAGCGGUGAAAUGCGUUGAUAUCCUAAGGAACACCGGUAGCGAAAGCGGCUCACUGGGUCUUUUCUGACGCUGAGGCACGAAAGCUAGGGGAGCGAAGAG